rnacentral:rRNA from 1 species
AUUAGAUACCCUGGUAGUCCGCACGGUAAACGAUGGAUACCCGCCGUCGGCAUAUGAUGUCGGCGGCCAAGCGAAAGCGUUAAGCAUCCCACCUGGGGAGUACGCCGGCAACGGUGAAACUCAAAGGAAUUGACGGGGGCCCGCACAAGCGGAGGAACAUGUGGUUUAAUUCGAUGAUACGCGAGGAACCUUACCCGGGUUUGAACGUAGUCUGACCGGAGUGGAAACACUCCUUCUAGCAAUAGCAGAUUACGAGGUGCUGCAUGGUAGUCGUCAGCUCGUGCCGUGAGGUGUCGGCUUAAGCGCCAUAACGAGCGCAACCCUUAUCACUAGUUACUAACAGGUGAAGCUGAGGACUCUGGUGAGACUGCCAGCGUAAGCUGUGAGGAAGGUGGGGAUGACGUCAAAUCAGCACGGCCCUUACAUCCGGGGCGACACACGUGUUACAAUGGCAUGGACAAAGGGCAGCUACCUGGCGACAGGAUGCUAAUCUCCAAACCAUGUCUCAGUUCGGAUCGGAGUCUGCAACUCGACUCCGUGAAGCUGGAUUCGCUAGUAAUCGCGCAUCAGCCAUGGCGCGGUGAAUACGUUCCCGGGCCUUGUACACACCGCCCGUCAAGCCAUGGGAGCCGGGGGUACCUGAAGUCCGUAACCGCAAGGAUCGGCCUAGGGUAAAACUGGUGACUGGGGCUAAGUCGUAACAAGGUACC